rnacentral:tRNA from 1 species
CAAAUUAGAGCUUGAAAAAGUAUCUUAUUUACAUUAAGGGGAUAAUUGUGAAAUUCAAUUUAGUUUGA